AUUUGAACUUUAUAAUUCAAAUGAACACAAAUUUAAAUCAUACUUGGUGGUGGUCUUCUCGAAACUCAAACGUCGUGAACUAAUCCUAUAGGUAUAUUUAAAGUAAACAUAUCAAAAAGGCUUGUC
rfam:Formosa sp. Hel1_31_208 genome assembly, chromosome: I